GGACCACUUACAUUGGAGCCCGUAAUAUCAAUUAUCCCGAGUGAUUGAAGAAUGAGACCUACUCAUACAAACUGACUGUUGGGGAAUUGUAGAAGCACACAAAGAUGAAUCUAAAUAAGUAAUCCAAUCGCACCAAGCAAGCACAAAAGUGAACACAAUGAUUUAACAUGGAAAAAUCCUUGCGGGAAAAAAACAUAGCACAAAGUGACAGAUAACAUUAUGAAAAUAGAAAUUACAAGUGAAGAGAGCUUACCCGAUUUGAACAACCUCGAAUCAAACCCUUGCUACACCAUUAAAACCCUUCGAGCAAAUUAGAAACCCUAGAAUUACCUCACAAUCUUGAUUACACUCCAAUAUAUAGUUUUUGGAAGAAUCACAAUCAAAAUAGGAAACAAAUCCCACAAAAUCGCAACUGAUGUCAUCGAAUACACUUCGAUGUCAUCGAAACUUGUCUUUCGAUGGCAUCGAAGUCAUGUCGAUGGCAUCGAACUAAUACCCAAUUAGUCCAGAGACAAGACAUGAAAAGUAAGAGUGUCCGUUUCCUCUACACCCAGAUAAUAAGUAAGAGUGAAUUUGUUGGGAUCUUGUUCUGUUUCCUCUACACGCAGAUGAUAAGUAAGAGUGUCCAUUUCCUAAAAUUGUUUCAUUAGGUUACUCAUUUACCCUUCUUUUUUUUGCUGGCACCAUUAGUAUCAGGUGAUCUAACCAAAAAAAAAAAAAAAAAACAGUUAUAUUAUGUGUUGUUCGAAAACUGCAUUAGUCAAUAAGUCCUCUUGGUACUUCGCUAGAAUAUUUUGAACAUGUACAUAUGAGAGUGCUGAUGGUUAACAUUUGCAUUUACUUCCUUUCACAAAAUGCAUUCAACAGUACUCAUCUUAUCUGCAUAUAUAACACAAGUAUAACACAAGUAUCAUUUGGACCAACCCCUUUAUCUUUAUUCCAUAUAUGUUUGUUUGUGGGGUUUUUUUUUUUUUUUUUGAUGAAUUUCAAUUCUCUUUUUCACUCCUUGGAUGUAUAUAUGCUGCCAUUAAAGCAAAUUGGAAUCAGGAUAUUAGCUUAGCACUUGUUUGGGUGUUACACAAAAUGUGGACAGGACAGAUGAACCAAUCCGCAGGUGGGAUGAAAGCCAACACUUCCAUCUCAUCUGGGAUUCGGGGUCCGUAAUGUUCUGCUUGGAGAGCAGGGCUAGACAAACAGUUACGCUUCUUGACUCAUCGGAUGACUGGAUUAUGGUGUUACUUUACAACCCACCAGACUCGAAUACUUUUAAUUUGCUCAUGACAUUCACUAUAUCAAUGGAUGGAUUCUUUAUCAUAUUAGAAAUGUUCUCUCCUGCUAAUAUUUGUUUGUAUGGGUUAAUACAUUUCUUUGCUUGAUUUGGUUGCAGAUCAAGUUUCAUGUAUCUGUUUGUUAAUACAAAAGGUCGGUUGCAUCUGUUGAAUACAUAUCCAUUAUAGUUGCCAGUUUAGAGCCACUAAUUCAAUCCAUGGAUGGACAAAGUCAUUCAGGGAACUUGCUUUUGCUUGAACAGAAUUGUAGAGGAAAAUUUAAUGUGCAAAUGAAGCGGCGCAAUGGAAGAGUAAGAAGUUUCAUAUGGAGCAAGCAGGCAUUAAAUUUGUAGUUGUUUCUUCUAGAAGUGUGGUGAUCAAUCAAACCCUUUUGCCUAAGGUACAAUUCAAUCUCCAGCUAUCAUAAAAGGAACGGGUAGAUAAGGCAAAUGUUAUACUUCCAUUUAAACACCAAGGUAUGCAUACUGUAAUUGCUGAACUUUGCUUGUUAAAAAAUAUUGAUUGGCGUUGAUUAAUUAGAAAUAUUAUCUUUAUUCCUAAUUUUAUUAUCAAUUUUUAUUUUUUCAUUAACAACAGUUUAGCCUUUUUCUGUUUAUUCGAUAUUUUCAUUCUUGUCACUUCACAUGAAAAAGUUUAUAAAUGAUUAAAGAAAAGAAGAAAAAAAGCAUUUCAAAUGUUCAUAUGUAUUAGCUAAUUCAGCAAACAAUUAAGUAGAUUGACCAAAUCAUGCUAUUUUAAAAACCCAUUCUCAAAUUCUGCUAAAAAUUUGAUUUUUUUUUUCCUUGUAUUCACUGUUGGGUGUUCAUUGAAUGGAAUAUACCAGGUGGAAUGGAAUCAUCAAUGAAACAGUGGAUCAACAUAAACACCAUUGAUUUUUUAUGAAACAUUUACACGUGACAUUGAAUUCUCUUUCUUUCAAUGCUAUAAUUUGAGUAAAUACCAAUGAUUUUUGGGAAAUAU